rnacentral:rRNA from 1 species
AGUCAAUAGAUACCCGGGUAGUCCACGCCGUAAACGAUGAGUACUAGGUGUAGGAGGUAUCGACUCCUUCUGUGCCGCAGUUAAACACAAUAAGUACUCCGCCUGGGAAGUACGGUCGCAAGAUUAAAACCUCAAAGGAAUUGACGGGGGUCCCGCACAAGCAGCGGAGCAUGUGGUUUAAUUCGAAGCAACGCGAAGAACCUUACCUAGACUUGACAUCUCCUGAAUAGUGUAGAGAUACAUGAAGCCCUUCGGGGUCAGGAAGACAGGUGGUGCAUGGUUGUCGUCAGCUCGUGUCGUGAGAUGUUGGGUUUAACGUCCCGCAACGAGCGCAACCCUUAUUACUAGUUGCUACCAUUAACGUUGAGCACUCUAGUGAGACUGCCCGGGG